CCCACCCUUAAAAAACAAAGAAAAAACACAAUUGGGUGAAUAAAAAGAUUGGGCAAUUCUUAAAUAGUUAACCCAUAGACUGGCAGCACUCUCCCCUUGGCAAGUAAAAUUGUCUAGCAUUAGAAUAAAAUAACAAAGUAUGACACUUUCUCACUUCCGCAUUUGCAUGCCCACCAAUACUGCCUGCAACACAGGCUACUAAACCAGAUAACAUACACAAAAUAGAAAAACACAACAUCAAUCCAGGAGUACUAACAUUUUAUUGCAACUCAAAAUUUUUUAGUUCAUUUGACGAAUCAAAGCAUUUAUCUUGUCCUCACGAUUGCCAAAAUCUCCACCUUCCACAAAAUGAUUCCUCUUUUUCCUCAAGCCUCCUGUUGGAUUGGACAAUUUGAAAGGCCAGAGGAAAUUAUUUGCUUCCUUGAAAUGUGGACCAAUUGUGAAAAUUUCAUGGAUAAGAUCUUCUAUACAAAUGAUGCCAAAUUUCCCCAGUUGUUGUUCGAUGAGGGCAUUUUCUGUGAUCGGGAUUCGUUGCUUGUUGAUUUUUACAAAACCACGUUUGUAGAUCAACUCACGGACACUUUUCAGGUUCGGAUAACUAUGCAAUAAAAAUUAUUUUUAAUCCAUUAAAACCCAACAAGUUUUCCCUUUACACUGAGUAAAAUAUGCAAAACUAAAUCUAUUAUUUUAUUAGUUAUUUAUUUGCUAAAAAGGUUUUACUCUCGAUUUCAAUUUGCUUUUCAAAACUGACUUCCAAUGUUUACUUGUAAAUUCGGAAUGUUCGUUGUAAAGUUCCGAAGUUUGUUUUGAAGUUCGUUCCGAUGAUUUACGAUGAUUCAAUAGCAAGCGAUUUGAUUGGCUGGUUCAC
rnacentral:lncRNA from 1 species